GUGAGGAAUAUUGCGCAAUGGACGAAAGUCUGACGCAGCCAUGCCGCGUGAAGGAUUGACGGCCCUAUGGGUUGUAAACUUCUUUUGUAUAGGAAUAAACCCUCGUUCGUGAACGAGGCUGAAGGUACUAUAAGAAUAAGCACCGGCUAACUCCGUACCAGCAGCCGCGGUAAUACGGAGGGUGCAAGCGUUAUCCGGAUUUAUUGGGUUUAAAGGGUCCGUAGGCGGAUCGUUAAGUCAGUGGUGAAAUCCUACCGCUCAACGGUAGAACUGCCAUUGAUACUGGCGAUCUUGAGUAUGUAUGAAGUUGGCGGAAUGUGUGGUGUAGCGGUGAAAUGCUUAGAUAUCACACAGAACACCGAUUGCGAAGGCAGCUGACUAAUACACAACUGACGCUGAGGGACGAAAGUGUGGGGAUCAAACAGGAUUAGAUACCCGAGUAGUCC
rnacentral:rRNA from 1 species